rnacentral:rRNA from 1 species
GAUGAACGCUGGCGGCGUGCCUAAUACAUGCCAGUCGAGCGAACAGACGAGGAGCUUGCUCCUCUGACGUUAGCGGCGGACGGGUGAGUAACACGUGGAUAACCUACCUAUAAGACUGGGAUAACUUCGGGAAACCGGAGCUAAUACCGGAUAAUAUAUUGAACCGCAUGGUUCAAUAGUCAAAGACGGUUUUGCUGUCACUUAUAGAUGGAUCCGCGCCGCAUUAGCUAGUUGGUAAGGUAACGGCUUACCAAGGCAACGAUGCGUAGCCGACCUGAGAGGGUGAUCGGCCACACUGGAACUGAGACACGGUCCAGACUCCUACGGGAGGCAGCAGUAGGGAAUCUUCCGCAAUGGGCGAAAGCUUGACGGAGCAACGCCGCGUGAGUGAUGAAGGUCUUCGGAUCGUAAAACUCUGUUAUUAGGGAAGAACAAAUGUGUAAGUAACUAUGCACGUCUUGACGGUACCUAAUCAGAAAGCCACGGCUAACUACGUG